AGGCGAUGAAGGGCGUGCUAAUCUGCGAUAAGCGCCGGUAAGGUGAUAUGAACCGUUAUAACCGGCGAUACCCGAAUGGGGAAACCCAGUGUGAUUCGUCACACUAUCAUUAACUGAAUCCAUAGGUUAAUGAGGCGAACCGGGGGAACUGAAACAUCUAAGUACCCCGAGGAAAAGAAAUCAACCGAGAUUCCCCCAGUAGCGGCGAGCGAACGGGGAGGAGCCCAGAGCCUGAAUCAGCAUGUGUGUUAGUGGAAGCGUCUGGAAAGGCGCGCGAUACAGGGUGACAGCCCCGUACACAAAAGCGCAUGUGCUGUGAGCUCGAUGAGUAGGGCGGGACACGUGGUAUCCUGUCUGAAUAUGGGGGGACCAUCCUCCAAGGCUAAAUACUCCUGACUGACCGAUAGUGAACCAGUACCGUGAGGGAAAGGCGAAAAGAACCCCGGCGAGGGGAGUGAAAAAGAACCUGAAACCGUGUACGUACAAGCAGUGGGAGCACCCUUUGGGGUGUGACUGCGUACCUUUUGUAUAAUGGGUCAGCGACUUAUAUUCUGUAGCAAGGUUAACCGUAUAGGGGAGCCGGAGGGAAACCGAGUCUUAACCGGGCGUUAAGUUGCAGGGUAUAGACCCGAAACCCGGUGAUCUAGCCAUGGGCAGGUUGAAGGUUGGGUAACACUAACUGGAGGACCGAACCGACUAAUGUUGAAAAAUUAGCGGAUGACCUGUGGCUGGGGGUGAAAGGCCAAUCAAACCGGGAGAUAGCUGGUUCUCCCCGAAAGCUAUUUAGGUAGCGCCUCGUGAAUUCAUCUCCGGGGGUAGAGCACUGUUUCGGCUAGGGGGCCAUCCCGGCUUACCAACCCGAUGCAAACUGCGAAUACCGGAGAAUGUUAUCACGGGAGACACACGGCGGGUGCUAACGUCCGUCGUGAAGAGGGAAACAACCCAGACCGCCAGCUAAGGUCCCAAAGUCAUGGUUAAGUGGGAAACGAUGUGGGAAGGCCCAGACAGCCAGGAUGUUGGCUUAGAAGCAGCCAUCAUUUAAAGAAAGCGUAAUAGCUCACUGGUCGAGUCGGCCUGCGCGGAAGAUGUAACGGGGCUAAACCAUGCACCGAAGCUGCGGCAGCGACACUCAGGUGUUGUUGGGUAGGGGAGCGUUCUGUAAGCCUGCGAAGGUGGCCUGUGAGGGUUGCUGGAGGUAUCAGAAGUGCGAAUGCUGACAUAAGUAACGAUAAAGCGGGUGAAAAGCCCGCUCGCCGGAAGA
rnacentral:rRNA from 1 species